GGGGGAGUGAGGAGAUGAAAUCUGAUUUGGGAUCAGGGGGUCGCGUGUUCGAAUCACGCCACUCCGACCA
rnacentral:tRNA from 1 species